AUUGAACGCUGGCGGCAGGCCUAACACAUGCAAGUCGAGCGCGCGGCGGAGGGGUGAGUAGUGUGUGGGACACUGCCUGAUGGAGGGGGAUCAACACGGGAAGCGGUAGCUAAUAGCGCAUUACCUGAGAUGUGCCCAGAUGGGAUUAGCUAGUGGGUGGGGUACAGGCUCACCUAGGCGACGAUCCCUAGCUGGUCUGAGAGGAUGACCAGCCACACUGGAACUGAGACACGGCCCAGACUCCUACGGGAGGCAGCAGUGGGGAAUAUUGCACAAUGGGCGCAAGCCUGAUGCAGCCAUGCCGCGUGUAUGAAGAAGGCCCUCGGGUUGUAAAGUACUUUCAGCGGGGAGGCGUUACCCGCAGAAGAAGCACCGGCUAACUCCGUGCCAGCAGCCGCGGUAAUUC
rnacentral:rRNA from 1 species